CUACGGUGGAUUCGUCGCUGCAAAAUCAGCGACCGGGACUGGAAACCCGGAAG
rnacentral:ncRNA from 1 species